CGGCGUGAUUCCGACCGCGGGAGCUGGGAGGAGGAGCCGGAGGUGGCUGCGGGGGGCUCCGGCCCAGGCCAAGGAAGGGCAAGAAGCUGUUGGUGCCGAGGGCAGCGCCGAGAGGUGGACUGGACACCUGGGGCAGGGGAAGGGGUUUAGGUGAAGCGGUCCAGGCUGGGGCUGCCACUUGCCUACGUCUUCCCGGUACCACCCAGGGCGCAGGGGCGGAGGCGGAGGGCCAGGGGCUGCAGAACCAUCCCCGGAGCGGGACGCGAACCGGCUGAGUUGGGAGAAGAGCCUCUGCGCCCCGGAGCUGAGCAUGCUGCCCCCGCGUGCAGCGCCCGCGUGCACCCAACCCAGAGAGGGGGCGAUAGGGCGGAGGCGGUGGCCCCAGGAAGGUGUCUGGGACCUGGCCGGCUGCACGUGAGCCCAGCGCGGGUCAUGUGCACCGGCUCAGCCCGGUUCGGCGCCCGGACGUGCUGCGUAUCAACAAAAUGAAACUCGGGGCGACAGGAGGGCAGUUAGCUCCGGUUCCUCUGAACCCUCCUCCCCGGCCGCGCGACCUCUCCUCAAAGCACUGGUCUCCCGCCGCAGCCCCUCUGCCGGGCUGUAGCCGCGGGGCAAGUUGCAGCCCCGGCGCGCCCCCGCCCGCCCGCGCCCCCUUGCCGGCCUGGGGGCGCUUUGCCGCAGUCAUUAAUAAAGAAGGUCGCCAAACUCAC